rnacentral:rRNA from 1 species
CAGUCGCCGCGGUAAUACGUAGGUGGCAAGCGUUGUCCGGAAUUAUUGGGCGUAAAGCGCGCGCAGGCGGUUUCUUAAGUCUGAUGUGAAAGCCCCCGGCUUAACCGGGAAGGGUCAUUGGAAACUGGGAGACUUAGAGUGCAGAAGAGGAGAGUGGAAUUCCAUGUGUAGCGGUGAAAUGCGUAGAGAUGUGGAGGAACACCAGUGGCGAAGGCGACUCUCUGGUCUGUAACUGACGCUGAGGAGCGAAAGCGUGGGGAGCGAACAGGAUUAGAUACCCCCGUAGUCCCUGUCUCUUAUA